rnacentral:rRNA from 1 species
AACGAACGCUGGCGGCAGGCCUAACACAUGCAAGUCGAGCGAGAUCUUCGGAUCUAGCGGCGGACGGGUGAGUAACGCGUGGGAAUAUGCCCUUUGGUACGGAAUAGCCUCGGGAAACUGGGAGUAAUACCGUAUGUGCCCUUCGGGGAAAGAUUUAUCGCCAAAGGAUUAGCCCGCGUUGGAUUAGGUAGUUGGUGGGGUAAUGGCCUACCAAGCCUACGAUCCAUAGCUGGUUUGAGAGGAUGAUCAGCCACACUGGGACUGAGACACGGCCCAGACUCCUACGGGAGGCAGCAGUGGGGAAUCUUAGACAAUGGGGGAAACCCUGAUCUAGCCAUGCCGCGUGAUCGAUGAAGGCCUUAGGGUUGUAAAGAUCUUUCAGCUGGGAAGAUAAUGACGGUACCAGCAGAAGAAGCCCCGGCUAACUCCGUG